GACGAACCGAGCGAACGUUGUUCGGAAUCACUGGGCUUAAAGGGCGCGUAGGCGGGCGGUCAAGUCGAGGGUGAAAGCCCCCAGCUCAACUGGGGAAGUGCCUCCGAUACUGGCCGUCUCGAGGGGGAUAGGGGCGUGCGGAACUUCCGGUGGAGCGGUGAAAUGCGUAGAUAUCUGGAGGAACACCGGUGGCGAAGGCGGCUACCUGGCCCAACAUUGACGCUGAGACCCGAAAGCAUGGGGAUCAAACAGG
rnacentral:rRNA from 1 species